AUGAUGAAGUAGUUGAGGUGACGCAGAUGGUGAUGUCAUUGUGGCUUGCUGGGUUAUGCAUACGCAGUCAACGUCGUCACGCUUGCCGUGUAAGGAUCCAUCAGGUACAUGAGUUCUGCUUCGGGAAUUUUGGCUUGUGUUGCCUUGUGGUUGUGUGAUGCUAUUGUAAUUAAAUAAUGUUUGGACACUUUUAAACUACUUUUUGGACCGUGUGUAAUAAGACCCCUAAGGGUCAAACAACUAUGACGUAGUUGUGAUGAACGUGGAAACUUAAAACUAUGUUUUAAAAUA